rnacentral:lncRNA from 1 species
CAUCAAAAUAUAUAUGCUCCAUGAGAAUCACAACAACAGCUUGGUCUGCAAGAAACUGCUCCUUGCACUUGGCCGUUUCCUUGAACUCUGCCUCAUCUUUUCGAAUUGUGAAAUUCAUCUCAUGCGAGACAAGCCAGGAACAGCGAUGUAAGCCUGCGCGCAUGGUUGACCAGGCCAUGAGCUGGAUGUUAAGGCGUGACUAAAAUUGCCUGAUUGAAGAGAUUUAUUCUUUUCAAUGUUAAGCAAGUACGUACUAGAAACAGACAAGAGAAGCAAUAAGAAGUUGUACUCAUUCUUUCCAAGUUGGCUGUGCAGCCAACCAUCAAAGUCAUGUGGAUGUUAGCUGGAUAUUAAUUAACUGCAUGCUUGAUGAGAUAUUUUUCAAGUUAAGUAAAAAAGUUGGUUCCUGGCUCAAUUUCUAAAUGUUCAGAAGAUUAGCUACAACUAAGCCUGCAUCUUGAUCUAAAAAAAAGGCUGAACUUAUGAGAAAACAACUACAUAUGUUUCUGCCCUUGAAAAACUGUACAGGAAGAAAAGAAAAAGAGAUAAUGCAUGGACUAGAUCACCACUUGAAAAAGAAGGCUCCAAGCUGCUUACCUCCUCCUCUGCAGCAGCUGGGACCCAACGAGUAGAGCACCAUGCCACCACGUCCAUGUAAGUAGCCACGGGGAGCAA